rnacentral:rRNA from 1 species
CAGCCGCCGCGGGAAUACGAAGGGUGCAAGCGUUAAUCGGAAUUACUGGGCGUAAAGCGCACGUAGGCGGCUUGGUAAGUUAGAGGUGAAAGCCUGGAGCUCAACUCCAGAAUUGCCUCUAAGACUGCCGAGCUAGCAGGUGAGAGAGGUAAGUGGAAUUCCGAGUGUAGAGGUGAAAUUCGUAGAUAUUCGGAAGAACACCAGUGGCGAAGGCGGCUUACUGGCUCAUACUGGACGCUGAGGUGCGAAAGCGUGGGGAGCAAACAGGAUUAGAUACCCCCGUAGUCCCUGUCUCUUAUAC